rnacentral:rRNA from 1 species
AAAAAGGACUCUCGGCAACGGAUAUCAAGGCUGUCGCAUCGAUGAAGAACAUAGCAAAAUGCGAUACUUGGUGUGAAUUGCAGAAUCCCGUGAACCAUAGAGUCUUUGAACGCAAGUUGCGCCCGAAGCCAUUAGGCCGAGGGCACGUCUGCCUGGGCAUC